GGAUCAGUAUGUUGGUACGUACUGUCAUUACUGGUUUCUCCCUUCUGAAGAACCUUGAUGUCAUUAAUUUGGUGUCUUGGGGAAUCAGGACUGUUACUUUGAAAAAAUUAGAGUGUUUAAAGCAGGCAUACGCUUGAAUACAUUAGCAUGGAAUAAUGAAAUAGGACGUUUGAUUCUAUUUUGUUGGUUUCUAGGAUCGACGUA
rnacentral:rRNA from 1 species